ensembl:lncRNA
UUACUAAGCUCUGAAGAUUUCACAUGUGUCAUCUUGUUUAACUUUUUAACUAUCCAACAAAGCUGAUAAUCCUACUCCCAUUUUCAGAUUAAGAAAUUGGGAAUCUAUGAGAUUUGUGACUUGAAUAAGUUCAUACAGCUAGUAAGAGUUAAUAACAAGAGUUAAAUGCUUAAAUGCUUACCAUGUGCCAGAUUCCAUGCUGUAACAGACCUUGUUGCUUGCCUACCCAGUAGCUAUCCUGCCUCUUCUCUGCUAACAGAAUUCUAAUUUUACCCAGCAAUUCAUCUGGCAGGAAAAGGGGCUCUAUCUCCAGUAUAAUUGGCCAAGCCAAUCAUGGUGAUCCCAUUCCCCCUUUGUCAGCGAUUGGAUUAAAGGCAGGCUUAUUACCCAGCUCUGGCCAAAGAUGUGGGAGAGAGUAUCAGUGAGAUGUUUCUGGGAAAGGUUUUCUUAUUUUCAGAAAGACACAAAAGGAAGAGAUGACCCUUUUCUGCUUUGUAUAUUGUAGCAUCUGGAUAUAAAUUUGGGAACCGUGGCACCCAUCUUAUGACCAUGAGGGAAGCCAGCCUAGAAAAGGCUAUAUACCAAGGUUGGAAAAGCAUUAAGAUGAAAAGAAGAGUUUUUGAUGAAUUAACCAAUCCUGAAACUUCCUUACUUCUAGACUUCCUGUUAUAUGAGAUGAUACAUUUUCCUUGUGUAUUCUGCCAUGUUUCAGCCAUUUCGAGUUUUGGUUUGUUACUUGGAGCUAAAGACAUCCUAGCUGACACACAUGUAUUUUCUCAUUUAAUUUUCACCAAAAAUCCAUGAGGAUAGUGUUAUUGUCCCUGUUUUACAUAUUAGAAAAUGAAGGCUCAGAGAAGGUGGGUAAUUUUCCCAAAGUUAUAGAGAUAAGAAAUGGCAUAAUAGCAUUUCAACCUGGUUCUGCUUAAUUCUGGAGUUCUUAACCACAUCAUACUAAGCAAAACAAUGAAAAUUAAACCUGGUCUGGCUGGCUCCAAAGGCCAUGCUCCUUCCUUCGUGUUUUAUUGCCUCCUAAUUUAUGGGAUGAAAUUCCAAUAAACUUGAAUCUAUGAUGUAUGGUACUUAAAAUAUUAUGUCCCAUCACUCCCCAUGGGAUGAGGUAGGCUAGCUACACAAUGCAGGGGAGGAUGAUUGCAAAUGACGCCUGAGUUGGCUUGGUCUUGGUCCUCUGUUACCAGUGGACUGGGCCUUUCUUACUACUGUGGCUUGAGAACAUCUGGCAAAAUGGAUAGCCUGGGUUAGGCACGGUGGCUUAUGCCUGUAAUCCUAGCACUUUGGGAGGCCAAGGUGGGUGGAUCACUUGAGGCCAGGAGUUCAAGACCAGCCUGGUAAACAUGGCUAAACUCCAUCUCUACUAAAAAUACAGAAGUUAGCCAGGCAUGGUGGUGGGCGCCUGUAAUUCCAGCUACUUGGGAAGCUGAGGCAGGAGGAUCACUUGAAUCCAGAAGGCAGAGGUUGCAGUGAAGAUGCAGCGAGAUGGCGCCAUUGCACUCCAGCCUGGGUGAUAGAGCCAGUCUUUGUCUCCAAAAAAAAAAAAAAAAAAAA